UAUCAGUUAUAUGACUGACGGAACGUGGAAUUAACCACAUGAAGUAUAACGAUGAUAAUGCCGACCGUCUGGGCAAAUAAG
rfam:Fusobacterium varium ATCC 27725 genomic scaffold supercont2.9, whole genome shotgun sequence.